AUAAGAAGAGAAGGAGGGAAGAGCAACAACCCACCGGAGACCUUAUGGAUUGCUCUUCCGGUUAUCACGCACAAUACGAGUCCAACCAAGAAACUGAACGGAGGGCGCCAAGGCCUCAGUAACUUGAUUCAGGUAGGUCAUGGUAAUCCGACCUGCCCAUCCUCAUGAUCAUCAUCAGUUGGAACUGUGCAGGUCUUUACCAACCUUGAGUGGAUCAAGCUUUGAGUGAUCUCGUUCAAGAUCACAGACCAGACAUCUUAUUCCUCUCUGAGGCGCAUGUUAAUAAUCAGAGGAUUGAAGAUAUUCAAUGUUUGUUAAAGUUUGAAGGUUGUUCUGUUAUUGAU
rnacentral:lncRNA from 1 species